AGAGUUUGAUCCUGGCUCAGGAUGAACGCUAGCUACAGGCUUAACACAUGCAAGUCGAGGGGCAGCAUGAAUCAAGCUUGCUUGAUUCGAUGGCGACCGGCGCACGGGUGAGUAACGCGUAUCCAACCUGGCCCUUACUCGGGUAUAGCCCUGCGAAAGUAGGAUUAAUCCCCGAUGACGUAUGUCUCCCGCAUGAGGGGCAUACCAAAGUUUUUCGGUAAGGGAUGGGGAUGCGACUGAUUAGCUUGUUGGCGGGGUAACGGCCCACCAAGGCGACGAUCAGUAGGGGUUCUGAGAGGAAGGUCCCCCACAUUGGAACUGAGACACGGUCCAAACUCCUACGGGAGGCAGCAGUGAGGAAUAUUGGUCAAUGGGCGAGAGCCUGAACCAGCCAAGUAGCGUGAAGGAUGACUGCCCUAUGGGUUGUAAACUUCUUUUGUUCGGGAAUAAAGUGCGGGACGUGUCCCGCUUUGCAUGUACCGUUCGAAUAAGCAUCGGCUAAUUCCGUGCCAGCAGCCGCGGUAAUACGGAAGAUGCGAGCGUUAUCCGGAUUUAUUGGGUUUAAAGGGAGCGUAGGCGGUCCUUUAAGUCAGCGGUCAAAUGUCAGCGCCCAACGCUGGCCUGCCGUUGAUACUGGAGGACUUGAAUACACACAAGGAAGGUGGAAUUCGUCGUGUAGCGGUGAAAUGCUUAGAUAUGACGAAGAACUCCGAUUGCGAAGGCAGCCUUCUGGAGUGCGAUUGACGCUGAGGCUCGAAAGCGCGGGUAUCAAACAGGAUUAGAUACCCUGGUAGUCCGCGCCGUAAACGAU
rnacentral:rRNA from 1 species